AACCUAAAGGCGCAAUGAAAGUGAAGGUCCCGCCUCGUGCGGACCGAGGGAAGAUGGGCCGCGCUGCUGUGCGGCUCCGCAUUCCCGGGGCGUCUCGUUCUCAUUGCGAGUUGAGGCGCACCCAGAGCGUACACGUUGGGACCCGAAAGAUGGUGAACUAUGCCUGGCCAGGACGAAGUCAGGGGAAACCCUGAUGGAGGUCCGUAGCGAUUCUGACGUGCAAAUCGAUCGUCGGAGCUGGGUAUAGGGGCGAAAGACUAAUCGAACCAUCUAGUAGCUGGUUCCCUCCGAAGUUUCCCUCAGGAUAGCUGGUGCUCGAACGAGUCUCAUCCGGUCAAGCGAAUGAUUAGAGGCCUUGGGGCCGAAACGACCUCAACCUAUUCUCAAACUUUAAAUGGGUGAGAUCUCCGGCUUGCUUAAAACAUUUUUGAAGCCGCGAGAUUAAUUUUCUKGRAUCGRAGKGCCAAGKGGGCCACUUUUGU
rnacentral:rRNA from 1 species